rnacentral:rRNA from 1 species
UACGAAGGGUGCAAACGUUGUUCGGAAUUACUGGGCGUAAAGCGAGUGUAGGCGGUCUCGUAAGUCGGGUGUGAAAGCCCUGGGCUCAACCCAGGAAGUGCACUCGAAACUGCGAGGCUAGAGUACUGGAGAGGUUGGUGGAAUUCUCGGUGUAGAGGUGAAAUUCGUAGAUAUCGAGAGGAACACCUGCGGCGAAGGCGGGUUGCUGGGCUGACACUGACGCUGACAGCGCGAAAGCUAGGGGAGCGAACGGG